rnacentral:rRNA from 1 species
AACGAACGCUGGCGGCAUGCUUCAUACAUGCAAGUCGAACGUGAAAGACCUUCGGGUCGAGUAAAGUGGCGCACGGGUGAGUAACGCGUAGAUAAUCUGCCCCGCUGUCUGGGAUAACCUUUCGAAAGGAAGGCUAAUACCGGAUAAUACGAUUCCUUUCAAGGGAGUCGUUGAAAGUUGCGGCGCAACGGGAUGAGUCUGCGUCCCAUUAGCUAGUUGGUGGGGUAAAGGCCUACCAAGGCGACGAUGGGUAGCGGGUUUGAGAGGACGAUCCGCCACACUGGAACUGAGACACGGUCCAGACUCCUACGGGAGGCAGCAGUAGGGAAUUUUGCGCAAUGGGCGAAAGCCUGACGCAGCAAUGCCGCGUGAGUGAAGAAGGCCCUCGGGUCGUAAAGCUCUUUAUCUUCGGGAAGAUGAUGACGGUACCGAAGGAAGAAGCACCGGCUAACUACGUG